rnacentral:rRNA from 1 species
UGAGGAAUAUUGGUCAAUGGAGGCAACUCUGAACCAGCCAUCCCGCGUGAAGGAUUGAAGGCGCUCGACGCCGUAAACUUCUUUUAUAUAGGAAUAAACUUAGGUACGUGUACUUAAUUGAAUGUACUAUAUGAAUAAGCAUCGGCUAACUCCGUGCCAGCAGCCGCGGUAAUACGGAGGAUGCAAGCGUUAUCCGGAUUUAUUGGGUUUAAAGGGUCCGCAGGCGGACCAGUCAGUCAGUGGUGAAAUCCCAUCGCUCAACGAUGGAACUGCCAUUGAUACUGCUGGUCUUGAGUCUAGUUGACGUAGGCGGAAUAUGACAUGUAGCGGUGAAAUGCAUAGAUAUGUCAUAGAACACCAAUUGCGAAGGCAGCUUACGAAACUACGACUGACGCUCAUGGACGAAAGCGUGGGUAGCGAACAGG